GAGCGUGAGUUUAGUUUUCUCAGUUGGUGAAAGUUUGGUCUUCACUCCAGCACGGUCGGUGGCUCCGUUUGUGGCUGCCGUUGUUGGAGUUGGAGGAGGUAAGUAGUAAGGAUCACCCCUUCGCGGUUUCGUUCGUUGGUCGCGCGAGGGUAAAACUAAAGGGGGUGGUUGGGUGCUCUGGUACCGGCGCGGGUGGCAGCCGUUCAGCGGCGGCCGCGAGCAGGGAGGCCGCCCCGGGUGGGGCCCGCCGCACGAGGGCGACAGGAGGUAGCUGUUCUGACGGCGGCAGGCGCAGAGCCAGCUGAAGUAGGUCCAGAAGGGGGGCAGGAGGCUGGCCCCGCCGCUACUGGUCCACCGGUGCUACGCGGUCCCCAAGCGCUCCCGCGACCACGGGAUGAUAGGCCACCGGCCAGCGUAGCGCCUCGGGAGGGGCCCGCUGGAGCACCACCUGACAUGGCCGCUCCCGCAGACCAAGCACGUCCGGUGCCGCUCGACGAGCGAGCGGCUGCAGUUGCCGGAGCUCGCGGGCGACGAGUAGGGGUUCCGCCUCGAAUAGGGGGCGGGAGGGGGGCUCCUCUUCGAGCUCCUGGAGUAGGAGUACCGCGUCCAGUGCUUUAAGUGGACGCCACCUAAGCGGCACCCCUAGACGAAGUCGGUGGACCACAAGCUGCCCGUCCCGCGGCGCGUCAAGGAUGUUCGCCGCCCGCUCGACCGGGCCCCCAAGGGCCGGGGUAGUCACCGAGGGCACACCCUGGCGCUUUGCUAGGGCCUGGGCGGAUUCGACGGCGCGCCAGGUGGCGGCAGGAAGUGCCGCAAGUCGAAGCACUGUGUCCACCAGCUCUAGAGGGGCCUCUCGUAGGACGCUUAGUUCCUGCUCAAGUUCCGGCGGUGCCCCCUCUGGACGAGGUGGAAGCUGCGCCACUGCCGGCACCAGAAGUUCACGGCACGCGACCGCCACCUGGAGGGGCUGCGGCGACUUCAGGCGGAACCGAAGCGGCGGUCGUGCGCAGUGGAGGAAGUCCCGCAGGACGGCAGUCACCUACCGAUGAUACCGUUGACGCACAUGGGCCACCCCUAGUGGGCCUCGUCGUUCUGGUAGGCCCUCCGCCGCGACGGGCUUCACCAGCCGCACUACGCUCUCCGGUUCCUCCGCGAAUUCCACUCCAAGUGCCUGACCUACGUGCCGCCGCGGUUCCUGCUGGUGAUGUUACACGGCGACCUAAUGCCGUGGCACUGCCACAGCCUGACCUCGGCGCAGCCGAAGUUGCUCCACCUGAUACCGAAGCCGCUCGGGCCUAUGCACAAGUGCGAGUUGCUGCUGCAGUUGUAGCAACGCAGCCACUAGAUGGAGUUCGGGGGCCGCGGGUUCGCGCCCUAGGCCGAGUACGAGGCGACGCACCUCCUCGGUGUGCGGCGACACAAGCGGCUGCUCGAACGGUUCAUGCGAAUCGACCUACCACGAAGAACCGGUACCGGCUCAUGUACAAGAGUAUGGACAUUGUGGAAAAGUGACAUGAAAAGAAGUGUAACCACACACGUUACAAAAGUAAAUCCAGUGUAAGACCACGAAACACGUCCAUAUUUGGUGUGAUCAUAGAGACGAUACACAACUAAAGAAAAGUUACACCUUGUUAACAUUCGACAGUCGGUCUUAUUUUAAGUAAAUACCACCCCGUUAAGGUAAGUACUAAAGUAUACGA
rnacentral:rRNA from 1 species